CGUGACAGGAGAUGCUCAAAUUAAAUCAUGUUGUCCGGAACAACAAUAUUUUUUAAAUCAUUAAGCAAAUUAGAGCUACACUACACACAUGUGUAAAUACCUAUUUAAUACGCCAGUCAGACAUAAGUAUUUAAGUCGAAGCAAGUUUCUAAAUAUGCAAAAUGAAAAUCAAAUUUAUAUAACGUGCGUGUGGUAUGCCAAGGGAGUUUAUACAUAACUCUCUCAUGACAUUUAUUGGCAUAUACAAAAGUUUAAAAAACUUUUGUAUAUACUACUCAUGUCACGUGACAUCUGACCAUCUACCCCCCCCCCGUGAUAAUUGGUGACAAAUUUCAGACCCCCUCCCCCCCUCUAAUCGAUCACGUGAUUUAUGGACGUUCCCAUAGAAUUUUAAGGUGAUUUACAUUAUUCGAUAGGACCACCUCGUAUAUGAUGGGGAGAAGAAUUUUCAGAAAUUUUCGAAAUUUUUAGAACCUGAUUUAAUAAAGGUUUCCUUCUUCAUUUCAAUUCACUACUAAAGACUAGAGACUUGCACGGCAAUUAACCUAUGUUUUAGCAUUUUUAAGAGGAAUGGAAAUACAAAAAUAUAAUUUAUGAUGUUACACGUUUCCAAAAAUAAUUUAGAGAAUUUUAACGUGAUUUAGAUUAUUCGAGGGGACCACGUCUUCUCAAAAUUUUUAUGAGACAGAAGAAUUUUCAGAAAUUCUCAAAACCACGAAUUUAUUUAACCACUAGAAUAAUACUGAUUUCAGCUUCAUUCCUAUACACUGAAACCUAUAUUUUAAAAUUUUUUAUCGAAAAUGGAUAUAUGUAAUUUACGACGUAAAACAUUUACAAAAAUAGUUAAUAGAAUUUUAAAGUGAUUUAAAUUAUCUGAUCGGACCACCUCGUACGGUGGGGAGAAGAAUUUUCAGAAAUUUUCGAAAUUUUUAAGUUUGAUUUAAAAAUACAGUUAUCUGCUUCAUUCCAGUACACUGCGAGCGAUAAAAACGCAAUUAACCUAUAUUUUAACAUUUUUAAGAGGAAUGGAAAUACAAAAAUAUAAUUUAUGAUGCUACACGUUUCCAAAAAUAAUUUAGAGUUUAUAUUUUAAUCUGAAUUUGAUUAUCCGAUGGGACCACCUCUUCUCAAAGUUUUUUAUGGGAUAGAAGAAUUUUCAGAAAUUUUCAAAAUUAUGAAUAACUUUAAAAUAAUACUGUUUUCAGCAUCAUUUCGAUACACUGCGGAGUUGAAUUUUGAGGGAUUGUCCGAUGGGGCCACCUCGCAAAAUGGAGGAGUAGAAAUUUCAGAUAUAGAUAUCAUUUAAUAUUUUAAAAUAUAGAAAUUUUAAAAUUUUUAGAAAAAAAAUCUAAAUAAAAAUAUAUUCUUUAAGACACUUAAAACAUUUCCAAAAAUCACUUAGAGUUGGAUUUAAAUCUGAUUUUGCUUAUCCGAUGAGACCAAGAAGUAUUCUCAAAAAUUUUUAUUAAAAAUGAUUUUGGGACGGACCUCAUUUUCUCCAAAUUUUUUAUGGGAUAGGAAG